rnacentral:rRNA from 1 species
UACGUAGGGCGCAAGCGUUAUCCGGAAUUAUUGGGCGUAAAGAGCGUGUAGGCGGCCAGAUAAGUCCGCUGUAGAAUCUCGAGGCUCAACCUCGAGACGCCGGUGGAAACCAUCAGACUAGAGUCCGGAAGAGGAGAGUGGAAUUCCUGGUGUAGCGGUGAAAUGCGCAGAUAUCAGGAGGAACACCGGUGGCGAAGGCGGUUCUCUGGGAAUGACCUGACGCUGAGGAGCGAAAGUGUGGGGAGCGAACAGG